CGCAAGAGAAAAAUCAACUUGACACCCACAAGACCCAGGACGAGAAGGACCUCGGAGGAGUACGGAGGCGGCGGCGGUGAGAGACGGCGCCAAGACGGCGGCUCGGGGCCUGCUUCCCGCCCCCGCGCUCCGACGCAACCCUCUAAACGUGACCGAGAGGGUUCCAGAGAAGAGGAAUCCGAUUGGUCAUCUUGUCUAUUUGUCCCAAGCCAUCGAUUGUCAGGAGGGCCUAUAAAUUGGAGGCUCCGGGGAGAGGUGUCUGCCGACAUCAGCCCAUCAGAAGGGACCGCGAGAUCCCAAGAUGUGUGUGAGGGCAACAGUCACAGCCUGAGACCAUGGAGUGAAAACCACAGAGUCCUUGAGGGAAUGCGAGGCUCCCGGGACUCCUGAAGCCCGGAAGGCAAUGGGAGGUGAUCUCCAAUGGGGCGCGCAGAGAAGCAGAGAAUGGGCCUCAUGGGACCUUUGGUGAAGGCAGAGGUUAAAGGCCACCAGCAGAGGGAGAGCACUUCCUCCCUCCACCAACACUUUUGGAGCACCCUCUGAGCCCUGCCCACCCUGUCCUUUCUCUCAGGCCUGGAGCCACAAGGGAAGGAAGACUGAAUCAACGCUCGGAGCAGGGGUGGCCUCGCUGCCAGGACGUUGUCAGGCCUAGCAGCGCAGCCUCGACCCGCCCCAGAGGUCCGCUGGGGAGGUCGCCGCCCAGCCCACCCCUGGCAGCUGCAGCUCUGUGACCCUGCAGGCCCCUGGGCCCCGGGUGGUGACCCACAAGACAGUCUUCCCAGGACCUAUGAUCACACUGUGCCCUGGGGUGGGCUCAGGCUGGGCACCCCUUCACCCUGGCAGAGUUGGGGCAGGGACGCUGGAGGCCGUGGAGAGCUUCAUGGUGAUGAGGUCCUCAGAGUCCGGCCAGCGUGUCUGUGUUCGUCGUGAUGUGGAACGGGCGGCCCGGUCCCUUUCCCGGAUCCCCUGUGGCCCCCGCCCUCCAGAGCUCGGCUCCUGUGGACCUGGAAAAGCCUUCUGUCCUUCCAGAGGGGGUGACCAAGGCAGAUCUCUACACAGAUCAAGCAUUCCCGGCUCUCCGAAGCUCUGGAACACAUCACCCCGCCCGUACACAGAAGAAAGUAAGCAGUACUUUUUGUACCUUGAGGACAAAAAUAAAAAC